GCCUGGGGGCCCCAGUGUUCUUUCCACGAAGUUGCCAUCAGGUGAGAGGGAAGCAGCCUGGGCCUCCAGCCCUGAGCAGGGACAGGGUCCCAGGAGGAGAUGACUGGACUGGCUGGUGGGGAAUCCUGGAGCAUCAAAAAUAACCCUGGAAGGCAGGAAGGAAACAGACUGAGCCCAGAAGGUCUCGCUAUGUAGCCCAGGCUGGCCUUGAACGCGGCAAUCCUCCUGCCUCAGCCUCCUAAGUGCUGGGAUUACAGGCGUGCACCACCACGCCUGGCCAAUGGUAAUCAUUUAGGAUACACAAUAAUAAAUGAAACAAUGUAUUUUAAAUCCA